ACCAGCGUAGCGUAGUGGUUUUGAGCGUUGGACGAUGACUUUGGAGUCCAGGGUUCAAUUCCCCGCUUGGCC